rnacentral:tRNA from 1 species
CCCCAGGUGGCUAAGUGAUAAAGAGUCUGCCUGGAAUGCAGGAGACCUGGGUUUGAUCCCUGGUUGGAGA